UUAUGAGAGUUUGAUCCUGGCUCAGGACGAACGCUGGCGGCGUGCCUAAUACAUGCAAGUCGAACGCUUUUUCUUUCACCGGAGCUUGCUCCACCGAAAGAAAAAGAGUGGCGAACGGGUGAGUAACACGUGGGUAACCUGCCCAUCAGAAGGGGAUAACACUUGGAAACAGGUGCUAAUACCGUAUAACACUAUUUUCCGCAUGGAAGAAAGUUGAAAGGCGCUUUUGCGUCACUGAUGGAUGGACCCGCGGUGCAUUAGCUAGUUGGUGAGGUAACGGCUCACCAAGGCCACGAUGCAUAGCCGACCUGAGAGGGUGAUCGGCCACACUGGGACUGAGACACGGCCCA
rnacentral:rRNA from 1 species